AUGUCGAGUGAUAUAAACAGGAUGUUUCAAGCAUUCUACGAUGGAAACAUCAUCAGUGACCUCAAGGCCAUCCCUGUGAGUGCAAAGUUUAAUCAGCAAGAAGAAAAUGAAAUGGGAAUUAGCAUAUCAGUGGAUUAUAUUUGCUGUGAUCCAGCUAACCUCUUAACAAGCUCGAAACCAUCUUUGAGCAAAUUAGGCUUCAUCACCUACAAUCAGAAUAUAUUUCUAAGUCAUACUGUAUCCCCCCACAUAAAAAUGAACAUGGAGUUAUGGGAAAUACAAAUCAUGAAAUGUUCUUAUUAG
rnacentral:rRNA from 1 species